AUUGAACGCUGGCGGCAGGCCUAACACAUGCAAGUCGAACGGUAACAGAAAGCAGCUUGCUGCUUUGCUGACGAGUGGCGGACGGGUGAGUAAUGUCUGGGAAACUGCCUGAUGGAGGGGGAUAACUACUGGAAACGGUAGCUAAUACCGCAUAACGUCGCAAGACCAAAGAGGGGGACCUUCGGGCCUCUUGCCAUCGGAUGUGCCCAGAUGGGAUUAGCUAGUAGGUGGGGUAACGGCUCACCUAGGCGACGACCCCUAGCUGGUCUGAGAGGAUGACAAGCCACACUGGAACUGAGACACGGUCCAGACUCCUACGGGAGGCAGCAGUGGGGAAUAUUGCACAAUGGGCGCAAGCCUGAUGCAGCCAUGCCGCGUGUAUGAAGAAGGCCUUCGGGUUGUAAAGUACUUUCAGCGGGGAGGAAGGGAGUAAAGUUAAUACCUUUGCUCAUUGACGUUACCCGAAGAAGAAGCACCGGCUAACUCCGUG
rnacentral:rRNA from 1 species